rnacentral:rRNA from 1 species
GGAAUUGACGGGGCCCGCACAAGCGGUGGAGCAUGUGGUUAAUUCGAUGCAACGCGAAGAACCUUACCAGGGCUUGACAUCCCCUGACCGCGUAUGAAAGUACGUUUUCACCCUCGGGUGACAGGGAGACAGGUGGUGCAUGGUUGUCGUCAGCUCGUGUCGUGAGAUGUUGGGUUAAGUCCCGCAACGAGCGCAACCCCUACGUUUAGUUGCUAACAGGUGAAGCUGAGCACUCUAGACGAACUGCCGUUGACAAAACGGAGGAAGGUGGGGAUGACGUCAAAUCAUCAUGCCCCUUAUGUUCUGGGCUACACACGUGCUACAAUGGCCGGUACAGACGGAGGCGAAGCCGCGAGGCGGAGCAAAUCCGAAAAAGCCGGUCUCAGUUCGGAUUGCAGGCUGCAAUUCGCCUGCAUGAAGUCGGAAUCGCUAGUAAUCGCAGGUCAGCAUACUGCGGUGAAUACGUUCCCGGGCCUU